rnacentral:rRNA from 1 species
UGGGGAAUAUUGGACAAUGGGCGAAAGCCUGAUCCAGCCAUGCCGCGUGUGUGAAGAAGGUCUUCGGAUUGUAAAGCACUUUAAGCGAGGAGGAGGCUACUUUAGUUAAUACCUAGAGAUAGUGGACGUUACUCGCAGAAUAAGCACCGGCUAACUCUGUGCCAGCAGCCGCGGUAAUACAGAGGGUGCAAGCGUUAAUCGGAUUUACUGGGCGUAAAGCGCGCGUAGGCGGCUAAUUAAGUCAAAUGUGAAAUCCCCGAGCUUAACUUGGGAAUUGCAUUCGAUACUGGUUAGCUAGAGUGUGGGAGAGGAUGGUAGAAUUCCAGGUGUAGCGGAGAAAUGCGUAGAGAUCUGGAGGAAUACCGAUGGCGAAGGCAGCCAUCUGGCCUAACACUGACGCUGAGGUGCGAAAGCAUGGGGAGCAAACAGG